ensembl:lncRNA
AGCCCUGCUGGCUGGCUGCUCUUGGGUUGUUAGGACGACGGGUCAACCAGUCCACGCCCUGCCGCAUGAUCCGAGUGGCUUUACCUCACAACAAGGGUAAGCACAGCUGUACAAGCUGGCUUGGGGCCAGAUGGAUUCUGGAUACUCCAACUUUCUGAGUAGUCCACAUGCAUUCAUUUUCAUAACAGUUUGGCAAAAGAAAACUCACACCCAUUCGCAUGACAGAGCUCAAUUUUUCGAUGAAGGAACGGUUAAAAAUCCUUUUUGUUUAGUUCUGUUGUUAAAGUAAUGUAGUUUAAAGUAUCAUUGUAAGUUAUGUAUGGGUUUGUUCUUCGCCCUUAUGAUCAUUAAAACCAACUCCUUUUGGAUUUUCGUCUGGCAACCCUUCAUUUGAAGAUAUGACGUCUUACAAUCUAUUGCUGAGUGGGGCAUUCAGUAAAUUACUCUAGCCUACAUCACUGAUAGUGAAAUGUUAAAACAUCACUAUAGUCGAGCUUUUAAAUUGGUAGACCUAAUGUAACAUAUAUGCUCAAAAUUUAAAUAAAACCACUUUUAAAAACGAUCUCUUAUUUAAUCGAUGAUUAAAGGAAUUAAGCAGGCUUUUAAUAUAAAACGUUACACCACAACACCAUGAUUGUAUUAUAAACCAAUAAAAAAUAACCCCAAUGUGUCACUCCAUACCAUCAAACAUGUAGGCCUUCUCCAGUUCAAACCCAUUAUUAUCACGCAAUCACCAACAGAGGGCACAAUUGCACUAUUAUCUCUUUCGAUUUGUUGACAACAGACAUUUGUCUGGCUAUCUGUCUGUAUGUCUUUCUGCCUGUCUGUUCCAUAUCUUUAAUAUUACUUGAAAGUUGAUUGGGUUUUAAAUUUGAACAUGGAAGAGCCCCUUAAAAACCUCACAUGGCAUUUCAGUUUUUUGGGUGAACUAUCCCUUUAAGGCUCAACACAAACCACACCAAAGUGUUUAGACAUUUUGCAUCAAGUUUGUAUGACAUUCUUUAGACAGAGGUGUAGAUACGCUCGCUCAGUAGAUACCUAUGGACGGCAGAGUCGGCGUCAGAGCAGAUCUACUGGAGGGGCAUUGGAUCAUCGGCGGGGGGGCACUGUCGUUUGAUAAAUAUUUUUUUGACGCAUUGGCAACAUCAUAGUAGCAUGGAAAUCCAGACCUAA